rnacentral:tRNA from 1 species
ACAGGAAAUGUGCCUGAAACUAAGGGCUACUUUGAUAGAGUACACCACAGAGGUUAAAAUCCCCUCAUUUCCU